rnacentral:misc_RNA from 1 species
GGGAGCUGGCAACUUGCUGUGCGCUGUUUUUCGUUUGUUGUGAAAAAAUAAAUUGUCAGGAAAAUAAAACGCGACGACGACGACACACGUCGUUUGAUUCUCUUUAAGUCCAAUCAUGUCGCAACAGCGGGCAUCGGAGCAAAACGCAGCCAGCAACAACGCGGUGGUUAACUUGGACGAUGGCGACGACGAGGAGGACGAAGACGUCCAGUUUGUUGGAGUUGUGCGUCCUAUGACGAGUGUCAUCGAUCUCUGCCUGUCCCCGUCGACUUCCGCAGCAGCUGCAGCCAGGGCAGCAGCAGGUGCUGCUGGUGAUGCAGUUACUCCACCUCCUCCUGCACCAUCAUCGCCGGGGCAAGCUUUGAAAGCAACUGCCGCAGAAGAAGCUCCACCGACUUCUGCCGAGGAGAGCGCUGCACCACUGGAAUGUCCCAUCUGUCUGCAGACCUGCAUCCAUCCCGCCCGCCUGCCGUGCGGCCACAUCUUCUGCUUCUUGUGUGUUAAGGGCGUUGCGUACAAGAACCGACGUUGCGCCAUGUGUCGCCGCGAAAUUCCCGCCGAGUUUCUGGACCAUCCCCAGUUGGUGAAUGGCAUCGAAGACAUUUGCGCCACCCGGGCCACCGAGGACGGCUAUCAAUGGUACUACGAGGGACGUAAUGGUUGGUGGCAAUACGACGAUCGCACGAGUCAGGACAUAGAGGAGGCCUUCAAGAAGGGCGACAAGUCCUGCACCAUCCUGGUGGCCGGCUACGUAUACAUUGUGGAUCUGGAGCAGCUCGUCCAGCAGCGCCAGAACGAACCAACCCGCUGCCGGCGGGUUAAACGAGACUUGGCCACCAUACCUAAGAAGGGGGUGGCCGGCCUUAGGAUCGAGGGCAACCAGGUGACCAGUGACACCAUCUUCAGUAGACCCACCAGCACCACAUCCACUCCGGCGACCGUGGCGGCAGCAGCCUCCAGCUUUAUAUCCACGAUUGCGGCUACGGAUGCGGCGAUCAGGAUUGCCAGCGACAUCAUCGGCUCGACACUGGCCCAGGCGGACGAACUAACCAGAGGACUGGCGGCCAGCAACAUCAGCGAAGAUCCCAGCGGUGAGCAAAUCCAAUCCACAGAUCCUCAAGAAGCAGGACGCUCGCCUGCCUCCUCUCCCCCCAACUCCAUACAAGAUCUCAUCACAGAGGACUUGCGGAAUACCCAGCAGGUGAUUGCCCACAACCAGCACACCAUCGAUCUCUUCGAGCAGGCCUUGAACGACUUCCAGGCGCUGACCAUGCGCAAUUACGUGGACUCCAGCGACGAGGAGGACGAGAUACAGACACAGACUCAAGAUCAGGAGGCAGGCGAGCCGUCUCAGACCGGGGAAAGUCAUCAGGGAGCUUAAGAGAGUGACCUAUAGAGUUUCGCCCACAUACACCUAAAUAAAUGAUCAAUGUUCCUUUUAGAAGAUUUCACAAAGCGGAAUGGGGAAUGUUAACUAGAGAAAUGCAGCGCGUACCUGAGAAUAUAUCAACUAAAUAAUAAUAUUUAACGGAUAAGCUCUGGGCUAGGAGCGUUGAGAACAGAACAAGAAACAGAAACAGAUCAGAAGUGAACAGUACAGGGUACAGGAUUGUAUUUCCAUAUAGUUACUUACCCAACAAGAAGAAUUGUAGUUCAAGUUCUUACAAAUUACAAGUUUCCUUGACACCAAUAGGCUUCUACCAAUAUGAUAUUCCGAUGUACAUAACUCAGUCUAUAAAUAUGAUAUUCGAUUCCUUCCCAAAUUCCAAUGGACAGCGUUGUGUGAAAACGACAAUAUAUGUGAGUUGGGUUUUACUCGACAAGGGUGUGAUUCUUGGAGGUCAAUUUUAGGAAACCCCCAUUAGACGAUCGGUCUCAGUGCGUUUAGAAAGGCUUCUCGAUUCUGACGAUAUUAAUACUAAUAAUACUUUCCUCUUGGUCAUGGGAGUGAUAUAAUUUUCUUUUUAUUUUCAAAACGCACUGUAGUCGGAGAAUCAGAUCCCAGUAUUAAAUAUUAAGCCGCCGUUAUGUGCGUUAAGGAAAAAAACAGUUCUGUGACAGUUAAAUAUUAUAUUUACAUAUACCUUAAGUUACUAUUAAAGAAAUAUAUAAAAUAAUCAUUGGAUAUCCAAGAACUUGAUGUAUAUUUUAAGAGAUAUACGCCUGAUUUAAUAAUCUCAAUUUUGUGACUACUAU